AUGGGCAAGUCAUGGGCGCUCCUCACCCACCUCCACUCCGUCGCCGGGCCAAGCAUCACGCUGCUGUACCCUCUGUAUGCGUCGGUGUGCGCCAUGGAGAGUCCGUCCAAGGUGGACGACGAGCAGUGGCUGGCCUACUGGAUCCUCUACUCCUUCAUCACCCUCCUGGAGAUGCUCGCCGAGCCCGUCCUCUACUGGAUACCGGUGUGGUACCCGGUGAAGCUGCUGUUCGUGGCGUGGCUGGCGCUCCCGCAGUUCAAGGGCGCCUCCUUCAUCUACGACAAGGUCGUCAGGGAGCAGCUAAGGAAGUACCGCGGCAGGAACCGCCACGCCGACGCCGAUCACAAGGUGCACAUACUCAAGGCCGAGGCUGACCAUGGUCAUGUGCACUGA
rnacentral:rRNA from 1 species